CCGCCGCCGGGCGCGCGCUUCGCCUUCGCCACUGACUGUUCCCUCAGGGCUGUACUGCCGUGUGAUCGCAUGGCUGGCGUAGUUGCCAAUUCAUCUUAUAACAAGCGGAAUUGGGCUUGGGUUUUUUUUUUCAAGUUGCUUUAUUUUUUUGAUGGUUGCUUGUUACUUGUUUUUAGGCUUAUUAUUUUUUUCUGCUGCUUGUUUGUGGGCUUUUUAUUUUUUAAUGGGUACCAUUGGCAGAAACCAUCAGAGGUAGUCAUUCAUUCAUUCAAAACAGAUCAUCACAAAGACAUAGACCCUCGUGUCCAUGUCCACUUGGAAUACCAGGACCAUCUGUUACCCAUAUGGCCUGAAGGUGAAAGGGUGUGAUGCAUGGUGAUUCUGGGUAUGGUUGUAGCUCAUUGUUCUUAUUCCGUUGUCACAUUCACAGACUCCUACUGAACAUAAGUAUAAUGUGGCCCAUCUGUAUUAUUAAAUAGACAGCGAGCAGCUAGGCUUCUUGUUACCGUUCAGCAAUUCCCACCACGGAAAGUGGGAGGAAAGUCAGGCGUCCCCCGAUGGGUCCCGCAGUGCUAGAGGAGACUGUGCGGCCCCUCCCCCCCUUUGUCGGUACCUAAGGAAUCGUCACUGCCCCUGGAUUGUGCAGCCGCCACAUCAGGGGGAUUGUGUGUGUGCCGCGUGGGAGCCGGGAGGAGGAGAUCCACAGAGGCAGCGGCUGCAGCGGUACUGAAGAGCUGUGACGGGUCUCCCCGGCGCCUGUUUGCGCAACCAUUGCUUGGCAAUGGACACGUCAGCUAUGCGCCGCCCGUGUGACGUACCCGGAAGUCCCGGACACAGACGCCGGGAACACCCGCUCCUGCACAGCUUUAAAAGCCCUUCUUGAUAAAACAUUGUAAACGGAAAGUCCGCCUCCCCAUGCUGGGCAGUCACUAUUACCAAGAAACAUCAAAUACAGCAAUUUGUGUGAACCCAAAUUCCUGGAGCGACGUAGAAUGUGCCAAUAGCGAUAGACUGUCCACAAUAAAGGAUUAUCUUUUAAUUCCUGAUCAUGUUCCACCUCUAUCACAUGUAAAAAUGUAAUCAGGUUCCCCUCUUUUAGAAAUUGGGCGUCCAAGUGAGUAUUUGCAUAAGUGUCAGUAUCAUUUAUCCAAUCCCUCAAAAAAUCGUAACAAGGAUGCAUGGUUGUAAAGUUGGAUAUUUUGGAGAUUUAU